rnacentral:lncRNA from 1 species
AGGACAGAGUAGAAGGCCUCAGAGCACAGCGGUGGUAUGAUGACAGGCGUGCAUAAACUGGUACUGAGCUGGACUGCUCUCGGUGUAGGGCAUGCUGCUCUAUUAUGCUUUUUUUUUUUUAAGCUUUAAUUUUUUGACAGGAUUUCUUGCAGCCCAGAUUGACCUUUGACUUGCUAUGUAGCUGGAGAUGACCUUGAACUCCUGCUUCUCCUGCCUUUACCUCCUGAGUGCUAUGGUUUGAGGUGUGUAUCAGGGUUUUGUAUUUCUACCCCAGCAGUUACCUUUAGGUGCCAAAGGCCCAGGGUUCUGCUGCUCUGAGCCUGACCCCUUGAUGCUACAAUAGGAUAAAACAUAUCUCUCUGGUUUGAAUAUUGAUGGCAGAUGUGUGAGUCUGUGGACACUGGGCUCUUGUGAGAAGGGGACAGGGCUGCCACGUGGAGCUUGCUUCUGAGUUGAUACAGUUUUCCUCAAUGUGAUGCCUAGCUAAGUGAGAUUGUUAGGAAUUUUAUUUUUAUUUUAUGCGUGUUUUUUUCUGUCUGUCUGCCUUCAUGUAUGUGUCUUACAUGGGUGCAGUGCCUGAAGAAGGUGUCAGAUCCCUUGGAUCUGGAGUGACAGGAGAUUGUGAGCUCCAUGUGUGUGCUGAAACCUGAUUCUAGAUCUUUCAUAAGAACAACAAAUACUCUUAGCCACUGAGCCGUCUCUCGAGCCCCAGUGAGAAGACUUCUAUUUGUUCUUCUCACCGCAGGCAGUGUUGGCAUUAUCAUGCCCACCAUUGAGUGAGACUAUUGAGAAAAAUGCUUGAUCAUUUGUAUCCUUAUACGGCGUAGCCGUUGUCUUAUCAUUGAGGUACCAAGGACUCUGCUCCUGCCACUACUUGGCCCUUGCAGGCUGGGAUGGUCACUCUUGAGAACACCAUCACCAGACAGCUUCACCCAAGUCUCACCCAAUCCCUGGGCCUCAGCUUAUCUGUAUUUUGCUGCCUCUCUAGAGUCAUCCAGAGUUCUAACCCUAGACAAGGAUAUCCUGAGCCUACAGAAUCUAUCUUUUUCAGGGCCGUGUACUUGGAUGAUCCUUGGCUCUGGAAGGAGGAGGAAGACUCUGUGGAGUAAGAAGAAGGUGGAUGUUUUCUUGGUCAGUUUCACUGUUAUGCAGCCAGGCUUUGAAGAAGACCUCCAUGCUGACAACAUCGUUGUCUAGCGUCUCAAGGACAAUGUCAGCUUCCAGGAUAGAACUCUCUGCAGAAGAAAGGGAGGUUGUGGUUAAAGUGGGUUUUUUUUUCAAUCUUAAUAUUUAUUUAUUUAAAGGUUUUCUCCCCAGGGGGAGGCUGGGACGGUGACUGAACUGUUAUGAGUCUGUACUGCUCUUGCAGAGGACCUGAGUUCAAUUCCUAGCAUCUAUAUCAUUUGGCACACAACUACCUGUAACUCCCGUCCCUGGGAUCUGAUGUUCUCUCGUCUAAACUCUAAGGGUACCUGAACUCACACAUGCAAACAGGUGUAAUUAAAAAUUAAAAAAAAUAAGUCUUCACAAUUAUUUAAAAAUAGAUUUGUUUUAGUUGAAAAUUGUUUUUGUGUUGGGGUUGGAGAGAUGACUCAGCUGUUGAGAACACUUGGUCUUGCAGAGAAUCUGGGUUUGAGAGGUGCACCCACAUGGUGUCGCACAACCACCUGUCACUCACAUCCCAAGUGACCCAACACUUCUUUGGACCUCAAUAGGCACCAGGCAUGCCUGUGUUGCAAAUAUAUACAUGCAGGCAAGAGACUCACACACAUGAAAUAAUAAAUCAAACCUAAACAUGUUAAGACACUGUACUGGCUAGUUUUGUGUCAACUUGACACAGCUGGGGUUAUCACAGAGAAAGGAGCUUCAGUUGAGGAAAUGCCUCCAUGAGAUCCAACUCUAAGGCAUUUUCUCAAUUAGUGAUCAAGGGGGAAAGGCCCCUUGUGGGUGGGACCAUCUCUGGGCUGUUAGUCUUGGUUCUAUAAGAGAGCAGGCUGAGCAAGCCAGGGGAGGCAAGCCAGUAAAGAACAUCUCUCCAUGGCCUCUGCAUCGGCUCCUGCUUUCUGACCUGCUUGAGUUCCAGUCCUGACUUCCUUGGUGAUGAACAGCAGUAUGGAAGUGUAAGCCGAAUAAACCCUUUCCUCCCCAA